rnacentral:rRNA from 1 species
AGGACGAACGCUGGCGGCGCGCCUAACACAUAGCAAGUCGAACGGACGAGAGGAGCUUGCUCCUCAAGUUAGUGGCGGACGGGUGAGUAACACGUGAGCAACCUGCCUUUCAGUGGGGGACAACAGUUGGAAACGACUGCUAAUACCGCAUAACGUUGCGAAGGGGCAUCCUUUUGCAACCAAAGAUUUAUCGCUGAAAGAUGGGCUCGCGUCUGAUUAGAUAGUUGGUGAGGUAACGGCCCACCAAGUCGACGAUCAGUAGCCGGACUGAGAGGUUGAACGGCCACAUUGGGACUGAGACACGGCCCAGACUCCUACGGGAGGCAGCAGUGGGGGAUAUUGGACAAUGGGGGGCCAACCCUGAUCCAGCGACGCCGCGUGAGGGAAGAAGGUUUUCGGAUUGUAAACCUCUGUUGACAGGGAAGAAAAUGACGGUACCUGUUAAGAAAGCCACGGCUAACUACGUGCCAGCAGCGGC